UACAGAGGCCCCAAGCAUUAUCCGGAUUUACUGGGCGUAAAGGGUGCGUAGGCGGUGUUAUUAGUCGGGUGUUAAAUCCUGGGGCUCAACCUCAGAAUCGCAUUCGAAACGGUAACACUAGAAGAAGUCAGAGGUAAACAGAACUCUCGGUGUAGGGGUGAAAUCCGUUGAUAUCGAGGGGAAUACCAAAUGCGAAGGCAGUUUACUGGGACUUUCUUGACGCUGAGGCACGAAAGCGUGGGUAGCGAAUCGG
rnacentral:rRNA from 1 species